rnacentral:lncRNA from 1 species
AAAAAAUGCAUUUGGUGUUUUUUAAAUUGCAAGUAAAAUGAUUUUAGGUGUGGCACGGGAAGACAAGUUAAAAAUUAGCAUCUUCAUUGUAAAAUGUAUGAGAAAUAAUAGCAGAAACGGUACUCGGCAAAUACCAAGAUGGUGAGAACCAAGAUAAGUGAAGUUCAGAACAUCCUGAUUAUUGAAUUAAUGACCAACUAAUCUCUAAAUAUUAUUUGGUUACAGAAGGUGGAGUUAAAUUGGUUCACUUAAAGGAAUGUUAUCAGAUAUCUACUCUCCAGAGAGAACGCUUGUUAAAGUAUCUGACUCCAAAUGACUGAAUGAAUAAUGAUGACCAAGAUUUUCAGGACCACCUGUUUCCAGGAGGGCUUCUCAUUUGGAGGCGGUCAAUAAAAGGAAAAGAAAAUGAAGAUUUGCCAACCUCUUUGUCUACCAUCCAUUUGUUCCUGACUGAAGAAUGUCUCUACCUUACUUUAAUGUGUGGUAUUUAACUCUGAUGUAAUGGUCCCAGGCUUUUCACAGACACUGGCAACGUCUGGCUAGAAGCUAGAAAGACUACUUAUUUUUUAUUUUAUUUUUUACAGGGGCAGAAUUCAACUUUAUUAAUAAAUAUAUUUAUAUUUAAUCA